UACGUAGGGAGCGAGCGUUAUCCGGAUUUACUGGGUGUAAAGGGUGCGUAGGCGGCUAUGCAAGUCAGGUGUGAAAUGUACGGGCUUAACUCGUAAACUGCAUUUGAAACUGUAUAGCUUGAGUAGAGUAGAGGCAGGCGGAAUUUCCGGUGUAGCGGUGAAAUGCGUAGAGAUCGGAAGGAACACCAGUGGCGAAGGCGGUCUGCUGGGCUCAAACUGACGCUGAGGCACGAAAGCAUGGGGAGCAAACA
rnacentral:rRNA from 1 species